UUGUUUCUGUAGUUAUCUGAUCCUUACAUAGAGGAAAUAGCCUUAAAAAGUAGAAUGUCUUUUAAAAGAUGAUCAAAUAAGUUUAUAUCAGUGAAUCUUGUAGGUGUUAGGGCCUUCAAAUAUGAAGAGAAUGUUAAUGAUCUGUUGCCAGAGUAUAAAGGUACAUUAUGUUUUCAUUAUUGGUGAUAACUUUAUGUGGUUUUUAUCCACACUUGUAUUUGUUUGGAGUCAGAGCAGUCAUUGGCUUGGAGCCAAGGAGGAAAAAAAAGAACUCUCAACUUUGGCCUUAUUGGAACGAUAUUUAACCAAGUUAACUGAAGAGUAAAUCUGCACAAUGAAGAUGAACAGGAAUGGUGAAGUUGUGAUAUCUUCACAUCAGACUUUCUUUUUGAUUAACCUAGAGUGGAUUUUUUUCCCCUUAAAUUACUACAUUUUAGCUUGUGUGCUUAUGUGUAAUCACUCCUAAAAUUGAGCAAUUUCUUUAGACGAGUACUGAGAAACCACUGCCCAAAGCUAAAUAAUUAAGGAUGUUUUCGUUCUCUGUUUCCAAGAGCUGUUGGUUGGACCUUGGAGUAAUAGAGGGGUCCAAACUCUUCAUAUCAUGUUGCUCACAUCUCUUCUUGGGUGUCUCCCGUAAAUCAUCAGCGAGAGCUUUCUAACUGUCAAAGGUGCUGCCCUUUUUCUGCCACGGGGAAAUGGCUCAUCCACACCAAGAAUUAGCCACAGACGCAACAAGCAUGCAGGUGAUCUCCAACAGCAUCUCCAAGCAAUGUUCAUAUUACUCCGCCCAGAAGAUAACAUCAGGCUGGCUGUAAGACUAGAAAGUACUUACCAGAACAGAACACGCUAUAUGGUAGUGGUUUCAACCAAUGGUAGACAAGACACUGAAGAAAGCAUCGUCCUGGGAAUGGAUUUCUCUUCUAAUGACAGUAGCACUUGUACCAUGGGCUUAGUCCUGCCUCUCUGGAGUGAUACCCUAAUUCAUUUGGAUGGUGAUGGUGGGUUCAGUGUAUCAACGGAUAACAGAGUGCACAUAUUCAAACCUGUAUCUGUACAGGCAAUGUGGUCUGCACUACAGAGUUUACACAAGGCUUGUGAAGUAGCCAGAAUGCAUAACUACUACCCAGGCAGCCUGUUUCUCACCUGGGUGAGUUAUUACGAGAGCCACAUCAACUCAGAUCAGUCAUCAGUCAAUGAAUGGAAUGCUAUGCAGGAUGUGCAGUCCCACCGGCCUGACUCUCCAGCUCUCUUCACAGACAUACCAACUGAACGUGAGCGAACAGAGAGAUUAAUUAAAACCAAAUUAAGGGAGAUAAUGAUGCAGAAGGAUUUGGAGAAUAUCACAUCCAAAGAGAUACGAACUGAGUUGGAAAUGCAAAUGGUGUGCAACUUACGAGAAUUCAAGGAAUUUAUAGAUAAUGAAAUGAUAGUGAUCCUUGGUCAAAUGGAUAGCCCUACCCAGAUAUUUGAGCACGUUUUCUUGGGCUCAGAAUGGAAUGCCUCUAAUCUAGAGGAUUUACAGAACCGAGGGGUGCGGUAUAUCCUGAAUGUCACUCGAGAGAUAGAUAACUUCUUCCCAGGAGUCUUUGAGUAUCAUAACAUCCGAGUAUAUGAUGAAGAAGCAACAGAUCUACUGGCUUACUGGAAUGACACUUACAAAUUCAUCUCUAAAGCAAAGAAACAUGGAUCUAAAUGCCUUGUGCACUGCAAAAUGGGGGUGAGUCGCUCAGCCUCCACUGUGAUUGCCUAUGCAAUGAAGGAAUAUGGCUGGAAUCUGGACCGGGCCUAUGACUACGUGAAGGAAAGGCGAACAGUGACCAAGCCCAACCCCAGCUUCAUGAGACAGCUGGAAGAGUACCAGGGGAUCUUGCUGGCAAGCAAACAGCGACAUAACAAGCUCUGGAGAUCUCAUUCAGAUAGCGACCUCUCAGACCACCAUGAACCCAUCUGCAAACCAGGGCUAGAACUCAACAAGAAGGAGAUCACCACCUCAGCAGACCAGAUUGCCGAGGUGAAGACCAUGGAGAAUCACCCACCCAUACCUCCCGUCUUUGUGGAACACGUCGUCCCACAAGAUGAAAAUCAGAAGGGCCUAUGUACCAAAGAAAGAAUGAUCUGCUUGGAGUUUACUUCUAGGGAAUUUCAUGCUGGACAGAUUGAAGAUGAAUUAAACCUAAAUGACAUCAAUGGAUGCUCAUCAGGGUGUUGUCUCAAUGAAUCAAAAUUCCCUCUUGACAACUGCCAUGCAUCCAAAGCCUUAAUCCAACCUGGACAGGCCCCAGAAAUUGCCAACAAGUUCUCAGACUUAACGGUAGAAGAUCUGGAGACAGAUGCCCUGAAAGCAGAUGUGAACGUGCACUUACUGCCUCUGGAAGAAUUAACAUCUCGCCUGAAGGACCUUCCCAUGUCCCCUGAUCCUGAAUCACCGAGUCCCCAACCCAGUUGCCAGGCUGAAGUCUCAGAUUUCAGUACGGAUCGCAUUGAUUUUUUUAGCGCCCUGGAAAAGUUUGUAGAGCUUUCCCAAGAAACCCGGUCCCGAUCUUUUUCCCACUCAAGGAUGGAAGAACUGGGUGGAGGAAGGAGUGAGAGCUGUCGACUGUCAGUGAUGGAAGUAGCCCCUUCCGAAGGGACAGCUGAUGACCAGAGAAGCAGCUCUUUGAGUAAUACCCCCCAUGCAUCUGAAGAAUCUUCAAUAGAUGAGGAACAGUCAAAGGCAAUCUCAGAACUGGUCAGCCCAGACAUCUUCAUGCAAUCUCAGUCAGAAAAUGCAAUUUCAGUCAAAGAAAUCGUUACUGAGAUUGAAUCUAUCAGUCAAGGAGUCGGACAGAUUCAACUGAAAGGAGACAUCCUGUCUAACCCAUGCCAUACACCAAAGAAGCAUACCAUCCAUGAGCUGCCCCUUGAGAGAGCCCAGGCCCUGGAGAACAAACCUGGAAAUCUGGAGCAAAGUGAGGGUUCCUACACAGCCCAGCCUGAACUAGCCAAAGACUCAGGGAAGUGGGACCUAGAAGGCUGCCUAACCACACACUCAUCAACUGCAGAGCUGGAAGACGAGGAACCAGCUGAGGAGGAACAAGAACUUUGGGGCCCUGGAAUGCACCCAGGUGCCAAGUGGUACCCUGGGUCCGUGAGGCGAGCCACCUUGGAGUUUGAAGAGCGCUUGCGACAGGAGCAAGAGCACCAUGGUGCCGCGGCUGGUUGUGCCUCAUUGUCCAUUCGCAAGAAUUCCAAGAAUGAUUUCUCUGUGGCAGACCUAGCACCAAAAGGGAAGAGUGAUGAAGCUAGCCUUGAACUUUGUUUUGUCCCCAAGGAACCAGAGAUUAACAAGGGCAAAGGGAAGUGCGGUGGGUCCGAAGCUGGCUCACUACCCCAGUCUGAGCAAGUAGCCAUUGGUCCAGCACCUGAGCUGCUGCCGUUUCAAGAGCGCCCAGGGUCAGACACUAGAACAAAGCAGGAAGGAGUCCUGAAGGAGCAGAGGACUGUGGUUUCGUGCCAGGGCUCUGAGACACAGGCAGCCCCUCUCUCACUUCCCAAGAAGGUGGAAAUCAUUGAGUAUCCCCACGCGGUUCCAUCCCCCAAUCACCCUGGGCCAGGGGGUGAAAGAGCCACCAGCAUAAAGAGUGGGGAGCAGGGACUGAGGAAAGCGAAAGUAGAGGACUCCGUCCCCAUCCUCUGUGCACUGGAUGAAAAUCUGAACAGGACUCUGGGCCCCACCCAGGCUCCUCUGCACCCCAACGUGCUACCUCUGCCUCAUUCUUCCCCUCCUGAGCACGACAGUCCCACUGACCUGACCUCCACCCUGAGCAGCCCUGAAGCCUGGGAUGACAGCCUCUCGACAGCCCGGCAAACAGGAGCACCUUUUGUCAGUCACACAACCCAUGUACCAUCUGCCAACUUGGAUCACGCACAUCCCCAGACUGUAGUUCACCUGGAAGGCUUCACAGAGCAAAGCAGCACCACAGACAACGAGCCCUCUUCAGAGCAGGGUAGCUGGGAAGAAAGUCAGGAGGGCCCCUUUUCCAGUGGCAAUGAAAUGCCAUACGAGGACUCCCAGUUAACUAGAGAAGACCUAAGCCAACUCGGUGACAAUAUUGAGGAGUUACAAGAAAAACCGGACCCACUUCCUAUAGCCUGUCAACUCCCACACAGCUCUAGUGGUGACAGCAUAAAGGGUCUCAGCCAUAGCCCUGGUGUGGUGAAGGAGCGCACUAAAGCAAUCGAGUCCCGAGCGAUUUGCCAGGGAGGGCUCACCAAACCAUCCCAAAUGAGGCAUUCAGCUUCCCUCGCCAAGUUAGGUUACUUGGACCUCUGUAAAGACUGUUUAUCGGACAGAGAGCCUCUCUCCUCUGAUCCCCCUCAUCUCAAACUGCUUCAGCCCUUCAACAGAACGGACACAGGCAUGCAUGCCAGGGAGGCCCGGGAGCCCUCAGAAAACCCAGAUGCCCCCCAGAACCUAGAGCCCACCAAGUAUUUUAUAGAACAGCUCAAAACAACAGAGUGUAUCGCGCAGAGCAAGCCAGUGGAGAAGCCCAUCGUACAGUAUGCCAAAGAAUUUGGUUACAGUCAGCAGUGUUUGCUCCCCAGGGCAGGACCCGAAUUGACUAGUUCUGAAGGAGGCCUUCCUUUGCCACAACCCCAGGGACUGCCGCGUUCAGGCCCCGCUCCAGGGCUGGCUGUGGCGCCCCGUCAGCAGCACGGCCGAACUCACCCCCUUAGGAGACUUAAAAAAGCAAAUGAUAAAAAACGGACAACCAACCCCUUCUAUAAUACCAUGUGAUUCUGAGCCUAUACGUGUGACUUUCUGAAAGAAAUGUUUGUAAAAGGGGCAGGUGUAAUAUGUAAGGAACAUGCACUUUAUGGGUUAAUUUUAUAAUAUUUUGGUCAUUUUACUGUUCCUGGCGCAUGCAGGGUUUGGGUUGGUUUUUUUCCCCCUCUGUGUAUGUGUGCGUGAAAGAGAAAAAGAGAGAUUGAUUCAGACAGCAAGACCAUUUUAGCAUUUUUUUAUUUUUAGAAAAAUUCAAACCUCAAAAAAAUACUCAUUUUCAAAGAGUACCUUUAUCAAAGGCAAAUUGCUGUUUUUCAAUCAGCUCCCACCUGCUCCUCAUUUGCCCUCUGAGAAAAAGCUUGCUUGCUUGCUUGCUUGAGGAAGGAAGCAGCUGGGGAGGGUGGGGAUGAAGCUGGAAAUCGGAAAUGCUCCCCUGGGCCUGUGUGAUGAUGGUUUGGGCUUCAGACCUGAUGCAUGGGAUUGAGCUGAAGGGCCGCUGCAAGUCCACGUGCUCUCAGCCUUGGGCCCACUGAGAGUUCCCAAGGUGGGCAGGUUCUGCUUUGCUCUCAAAGUGGGGGGUCUUCCAGAAGCCACUGCUUCUGGAUUCCUGAGUCCAUCAUUACCGAAAGGCAGGAUAAUGGCUGGCUUUGUAAACUUACCAAGCAAAUAGGUCCCCCCGCCCCCCGCCACCCAGCACAUGAUUUUUAAAUUAAAAGGGAACCUCAAAUGAAAUCUGAGAGAUCUGUGUGGAGGAAAGCAUAUGAGGAGGAGGAGGAGGUGAAGUCUGCAGAGGCUGCUGCCCGGUAUCUUCCGGGUCAGUAUCUUCCUCCACAUGGGCUGUCACCCUGGCCCUCCCUGCCAGGAAAUGUGCUCUGUAACAUCCUUUCAACUAAAACAGAAUAGGGACAAGUUUGAAAAACAGCAAUUGAAAGUCAGUGUGUUCUUGUAAAAUGACUAUGUACGUAGGGUUUUAACACUUCCAUUACUUGAAUAAUUCUGUGGGCCUUCUGAGUUUAAUGGCCAUAUAUUUUUCCAAUUUACUUUUCUCCCUCAUGCUGUUUCUCCCAGUGCUGCCCUUUUUUUUUAAAUUUCAUAGAUGAUAUUUGAAUUGUUACAUUACCUAUGUAUAACCUCCAUUGAACGCGAAGUUUUCUUACCGAUGUUAUCACUGUUAACACUUGACAUGGGUUGUUGUGUUUUGUUUUUUUUUUUUUCUGGAAGAUAUGUCAUUUCUCUAGUUUAUACACAGUAUUUAUGUACAUAAUGUCACUUUCUUACAGUGUUUUGUUGUUGAUGUCGUAGGAUCUUUUUGAUUUAAUCUUUUUAAGAAGGAUAAAGCUGCAACUGGAGAAAACAGACACCACAGAAAUAAAACUGAUGGGUGCUGGUAGGAAUCUGCAGAGUAUAUCGAUGGUGGUUUUAAUUGUUAAGAUGGAGACUUCUGAUCGCCAGCUGCUGCCAAAUUAUGUGUUAGUAACUUCCUCCUCAGAGAAACCCCUGAAGGCUCCCAUUAGAUCACAGUUUGACUGAAAGCUGAUUUCUCUUUGAGACUGAAAUCCCAGAGCGGGUUGUUUGCCAGGAGCUGAACCACAGCCAGGGAGUGUAUGUGAGUGAUACCGCUGCCCAGGGCGGAAGCUUCCGAUGGAGUGGGCUGCAGGGUUCAUGGGCAGGCAGGCCCCCCCACCGAGGGCAGGCACCCACUAUUGACUCCACUUAGGAUGCUUUUGCUUCGUUACUGUUGUGGAGCUCCUUGCCAUUAACAAGCCUGUUUGGGCUUCUUACAGAAACCAUUUAGCCUGGAAUGAAAUGCCUUCUGCAGCUCAUCAAAACUGAAGAGGUUUGCAAAUUUGCUUCCUGUUUGCUUUGGUUGAUGUCCACGUGGCUGAGAAGUUGACCAAGUACAGACUUGGGCUUUGGUUUUUGGCUCAUCACGGCACUGAGAGGAAAGACAGAUACCCAGACUGUAAAGGGGAUUGUCAGAGGCCAGAGUUUGGUGGGAAACAGAUAGUGGAGUGACCUCCAGGGGAUGGAAAAGGUGGCCUGAGGCCAUUCAUAGGUGCUCCAGGAGAGCUGUGAAUCUGGGUGCUGUGUGGAAGUUGGUCAGGUCUCGCUUCGCUGCCAGGUGGUGGAUUGGACAGAAACCUCCCGCUCUAAGUGUCUUUAUGAUGUAGUAAUUAUAUGUACCUGUGCUGUCUUUAAAUAGUUUUUUCCUUGAAUGUUCGAAUGUAUCCUCCACACACACGGCUUUGUGGUUCCUGGAUGUUUAAUGUGUUGUCAAGUGUUUUUGUUAGAUGAUGUGUACCAGUGUGAGGAGGCUUGCAAGACAGGGUUAUGAAUUUUCAGGGCUCAGCCUGCUAAACAGCCCUGCCUUGUUGAGCCAGUUCCACCACCGCCAAUACAAGAGGGAAAGGACAGGAAAUUGUGACAGGGGCAGGGAGAGAAGGAUUUGCACUGAAGUGAAGAGAGUGGUGUCCCCUCAUUAACCCUUUGAAAUGGUGACAUCCCUCACAUAGAGGAUUAUAAGCAGGACGGACAGUAUUACACUGUGCUCUCUCCUCCCCUGCAGCGGUGGUUAGUGCUCACCAUCCCUGCAUUAAGUAACAGCAGCGGUGGGGAGAUCUUCUAAUGCUGUGAAGAAAACUUUUUUUAAAGAAAAAGGAAAUAGUCUUGCUCUCGCUUCCUUCUUUUAAGUAACAUUCUUGGCUAUCGUUUAAUUUACCUGCCUCAAGAAACAUCCUCCAUUCGGGGUCUGUAAUUCACCCAUGCUGUGGGGGUUUUGCCAGCCUCUCAAACCCCCCACAACUGAGGGUUCUUGUGUUAUUUGCAUAGCUGAGCAAUGCCCAGGGGAAGCACAUGAUGAGCCAUCAAGGACUUCUCAGACUUUCUUGUCCUCAGACUUUUUGAUAAUCUCAGGUGGCCUAUUUCCCUUUUCUGUUCAUGGAAAGCUCAGACCCAGAACAGCAGGUCCGGUGGUUUGACAGAGCUGAGUAGGAAAAGUCUUGACCUCUUGCUCAGUGCCUCUCUUUAUUUUGAAAACCACCGUAGUCUGACUCUCAGUUACCCUGGAGGAGAGAGAGAGAGAGUGUGUGUGUGCAUACACAGAUACACGCACACCUGUGCAAAAAUACUUUAAAAAGUAAUGUUUUGGUGCAUGGGGUAGAAGCCCCAGGAGCACGCAACUUUUGAGCUGUAAUCUGGAGGGUUACCUGGUGAAUAGGAAGGAGAGAGACUUCAACCCUUUCUUGAUUUUAGAAACACUUAGGAGUAGUAUAUACUAUAGUAGACCUGUAGUACUGUAUUAUAGUAAUAAUCAUCUCUCCUCAUUUUGGUUGCCUUUCAGAGUCUUAAUGUUUGGGAUCAUUCUUAGCACCCUAGCUUCUUCAGGCUCUUGAGGUAGCAUUUUCCUGGUUCUGUACCUGUAUCCCACCCCUAUGUCAUCUGGGAACUACAAAGAGCUCCAAGGACAGCCUUGAGAAUGAAAGCCCAGGCUCUGAGGUCCCCUCUUGCUCAAGGGCCCCAAACAGAGACUUUUGGAUAGACCUGAAGUUUCUCAGACAUAGCCACUCACGAAAAUCUUCAUCUGUUCCAUCUGAGGAUUUCAGUUUUAAAGUGAUCUAGGCAUGUUUGGUAGAGAAGUUUCUGUGGGAGUUUUUUUCUUUUACGAAAGCAUUAUGCAAAGAGGGUCACUUUUUAAGGGCAUUUUAAAACUUUUAAAUAAAGCCAUUCUUUGGCUCUUUUUGACAACUAUUUGUGGAUACUUUGUUUACAUUGUGAUAAUUAAAACACACAUCCUCUUGACAGCCGCUCCUCCCUUCCUCCAGGCACGCGGCCCUGGCUGUCCUGAGUCCUCUCACAGAGCAAGGCCUCUGUGGUCAGCCCUGACUCACAGGGGACUUGGGCGGAUGGACCCAGAGCUGACUUCCAUCUGUGUCCUGCACUCCCCUUCAACAUUCUGUGUGGAAUUAGCCCUUUCCUCAGUCAGUGAUGGUGUGUCUUACAGUGAUGGUUGUAACGGUGAAUGGCUAGUGUCCUUUUUGUCUCAGUUUGUUUUGCUUUUUGAUGGUAGAUGAAAUUUUAGCUCUUUCAGCACCAGUCCAACUUGACGGUAUCUUGGACUUUGUUUUCCCUCCCAGACUUAAAAGAUCAAGGCAUGUAUUAGGCAUAAAUAUAUUUGCUGCCUCAACUCAUCUGAUACCCAGAUUAGGAAACAGCCUGUCACCAAAGCAGAAAGCUGCACACUCCUAACCCCUGUCCCAGGCCUCUGGGGUCCCUCGAUGCCAUGGAGAGCUAAGGCAAGGUGCUUGUGUACUUUCCCAGCCUGGAAGUGAAGGGUGACAGGCCCUGGCUCCUGCUAUGAAAGAAAACCAGCCUCAUUUUCUCAGUGCCCCAGAGACCUAAGACAGGAUUUCUAAACUGGAAUCAUCGCUCACUGGCUUGAAGAUGCCUCAGGGGGUAUAUGACUAGUGCUGCCCUCUGGGUCCUCACAGGGACACUGGUGGCUUUGUCCUCUGUACAUAUGCAGAGCUAAUACCCAGGGCUUUAUUCAAGCUGAUGACCCAAUCUGGAAACUGGGUAACUGGCCCUGAAAUGAUUCUCCACCAACAGGCCCACAGGGAAUUGUUUGGUUUUUGUGGUUUUUUCGGAUUUUGGUUUGCCUGGCAUAGCUUAAGGUGCCUUUUAUUAUUUUUUUUCUUUCUACUUUAUUUUGUAGGACUUGUUCUAAAUGUAGAAAACAAGUCCAAAAGACUCUCCCACUGACUGUUACCUUUGCCCCAGGCCAGUCCAAACUUUUAUGCUCACAUUUUAUUAAAUAAAGCAGGUGCUCCCUGGAAUCUCUGGGACCUUUUUGAGGCAUUUGAAGCAGAAUAUAAAGAGUGGUCUCAUCUCCUUCCUUAAUCUUCCUGGUGGUUGGGAUGUUCCACUUGUAUCAUAGAUUUUUUUUAUUACUGAUGUGCUCUGCUGUUUUUAAAUGUGAACUUGUGCGCAAAUGUGCAGAUUCAAUGUUCUUGUUACAGAUUAAAUAAAUUUUUAUUUUGAAGAUGAAA